AGGACGAACGCUGGCGGCGUGCUUAACACAUGCAAGUCGAGCGGAAAGGCCCUUCGGGGUACUCGAGCGGCGAACGGGUGAGUAACACGUGAGCAACCUGCCCUUAGCUCUGGGAUAGCUCCGGGAAACCGGAAUUAAUACCGGAUACGACCUAGGCCGACAUCGGCCGUGGUGGAAAGUUUUUCGGCUAGGGAUGGACUCGCGGCCUAUCAGCUAGUUGGUGGGUAAAGGCCUACCAAGGCGACGACGGGUAG
rnacentral:rRNA from 1 species